UGGGGAAUCUUGCGCAAUGGACGAAAGUCUGACGCAGCCACGCCGCGUGAGUGAAGAAGGCCUUAGGGUUGUAAAGCUCUGUCGCCCGGGACGAAAAUCCUAUCAGUGAAUAGCUGAUAGGACUGACGGUACCGGGAGAGGAAGCACCGGCUAACUCCGUGCCAGCAGCCGCGGUAAUACGGAGGGUGCAAGCGUUGCUCGGAAUUAUUGGGCGUAAAGGGUAGGUAGGUGGUCUUAUUUGUCUGAGGUGAAAGCCUUGAGCUUAACUCAAGAAGUGCCUCAGAAACGGUGAGACUAGAGUUCUGGAGAGGGUCGUGGAAUUCCCGGUGUAGCGGUGAAAUGCGUAGAGAUCGGGAGGAACACCAGAGGCGAAGGCGGCGACCUGGACAGAUACUGACACUCAACUACGAAAGCGUGGGGAGCAAACAGGAUUAGAUACCCCCGUAGUCC
rnacentral:rRNA from 1 species